rnacentral:rRNA from 1 species
AACGAACGCUGGCGGCAGGCUUAACACAUGCAAGUCGAACGCAUCCUUCGGGGUGAGUGGCAGACGGGUGAGUAACGCGUGGGAACGUACCUUUCAGUUUGGGAUAACCCAGGGAAACUUGGGCUAAUACCGGAUACGCCCGAGAGGGGAAAGAUUUAUUGCUGAGAGAUCGGCCCGCGUCUGAUUAGCUAGUUGGUGAGGUAAAGGCUCACCAAGGCGACGAUCAGUAGCUGGUCUGAGAGGAUGAUCAGCCACAUUGGGACUGAGACACGGCCCAAACUCCUACGGGAGGCAGCAGUGGGGAAUAUUGGACAAUGGGCGCAAGCCUGAUCCAGCCAUGCCGCGUGAGUGAUGAAGGCCUUAGGGUUGUAAAGCUCUUUCGCACGCGACGAUAAUGACGGUAGCGUGAGAAGAAGCCCCGGCUAACUUCGUGCCAGCCGCCGCAGUAACAC